AUAGCCUAAAAUUAACAAGAACAAGGAAAAUAUAUAACAGCUUGUAUAAUGACAGGUAUCUCAAAUUUACUGUAUAAAAUAUUCCAUUCAUUUAACAGUCUCUUGAUAUAACAUUACUUCUCAAACUUACAUUUAUCAAAUAUCACAUAAGACACGAGCUUUGGAAGUGUUUAUAUGGAAACUAGAUCCCUCGGUAAAUAAUUUCCAAAUUAGACAAAAGAAGUCUGUGUUGCUCAUUUAAAUUUUCCAUGCAACAAGUCAGACAUUUUUAUUGCUCACUACUUGCAACUGUAUUAACACAUUAGAUUGCCAAUUACUGAUUCUGCAAGCCUACUUGCUUGCUUGCCAGCCCACUCACUUCAAUCCUAACUUUCUCCUGUCAUCAAAGAAAAAAACCUAACCUUACCUUUCUCUCUCUCUCUCUCUCUUUUGUUUUUUUUACCUUAAACAGCCCUGCCAGACAUAUACCUCAGCUCGAAAGCUGAAGAGACCUAAAACCAGCCUGAAGUGCCUCCUUGAUGUCCUGGUACAAUUGUCAACAGGGCAAUGUUACUCAUGUAAUUUGCUUCAGUUUGUUUGCAAUCCUGUAAGUGUUUCAAGGAGAUGCCUCAUUGUACUUUCAAGUCUCUUCAGGCCUUGAGCCAGAGAAGCAUAUGUGUUCCAGCAUAGCUGCUUAUGGCUCCCGGAAAGAAAAGUGGCAAAGAGGAACAACUUUUUGCAGCAGCCAGGCAAUGGGUAAGUGUUCUGUUGGCGGGAAAACGAGACCCGAUAUAGAUGCUGGUCGCAAGGGGAACUUUGCGGAGUCAACUGAUCAGCUUGAGGAGAGAGAUCGUGUGUGGACUUCGUACCCCAGUUCCUUGCUUUCCGGAUCAAGUUUCAAGCCUGCCUUGUUUCACGUUUUGCCACGGACCUUGUUCAUGCUUCAUGUUUGCCUCGUUUCAAGUCUUUGAUCUAGCCAAGAAUCAAGUUUAUUUUCCAGCCUUGUUGUCAAGCUACAUUGGACUUUAAAGACUCUGUCAUUUCCCCACACUUUGCUUGGCAAAGUGUGUGUUUCGGUCAAGUGGAUUAAAACUUUGAACUCUAAUAUCUUAUAUUGGACAAUACAUUUCUGGACUAUAUUUGACCUCAUCUGAAAGGUCUGCUUCUGAACUAUAUUCUUCACUUGUUUUUAUUGACUUUAUAUAUUUCUAUAAUAAAGAUAUUAGAUAGA